CGCCUCGAAGGCAGGCAGCAUCGACUGUGUCAAGCAAGCUGUAGCAGGCCUGCACGACUCCUUGCUGAUCACUUGACAGUCCAAGCUUGCAAUAGUGUCAAUUCAGGUAGCUGUGUGGCAUGGCCGAAUCCUGCCCGAUCAGGGCCAACCAAUGGACAUGUUGUAUGCAUCGAUCUCCCAAUCCAACAGGCAAUACAUGUCUGCAAAUUGUCCUGAAAAAAGUCAUUCGAUAAGAAAGAAACUCAGGAAAAUAUGGUGGUUCUACGUCACUAGGAAAAUCAGAGGAGACUACCCAAUCUAUAAUGACAGGUGAAUAGUAGUGAUGCAUUCUCUUCCGACAGGCUCCAAAUGAUGGUUAUUCUGCAGGAUUGGGAGAUGGAUGUAAUGUCCUUGUCCGUGCCAUUUGGUUUUGUGGGAAGAAAAAUGUUGAGUGUUGUUUUCAAUGGUGGAUGUGACAUCCGACGAUUGCCGAGGAAGAAAGGUGCGGGGGAGAGAAUCAAUUUGUGGUUUAUGAAUGGAAACCUUGUGUCAACAUGUUUGAUAUGUUUGCUUAUUACUCAAUGGUUGCAUUGGCAAAUGGGGCCUCAACAAUCUCUUGUGCCAUUUGAACUUUAAGUUGAUUAUCGAUGAAGCAAGAUAUUCUAGAUUUAUCGAAUCCUAUUUUUUUUUCAUCAGAACGAUAUGGUUGUCUGUACAAACUACGUCAUAAGCUUCUUUGGGUAGCUUUUUACGGUGUUUCCAUCUUUUAAUUUAUCAGCAACUCCAUCAAAGUACCAACCUCAGAGUUGAAAGUAAGGGCUGCAGAUUUUUCACGGAUCAAAUAGGAAUCACUACCACUGUACUGGCCUAACUUACGUACUAAUGCCUACAUCAACCGCCUGGAAGAAGUUCUGGGUACUUCUAUUGCAUCGGUCGGUAUAUCUUCCUUUAUCUAUAACUUGAUCUAGAUAUUAGGCUGACAAGUAGGCUAUUACAGUACAGGUGGACCAUUUUUAGACAUGCCAUAUUCUUUGUCUGGAUAACAAAAUUAUUUUCACAUGGAAACCUCACACAAAAUCGCUGUUUAAAUCAUUGUUGGAUGUUCCAUUCUUUGAUUAUUUUGUUACAUUCAAACUAAUAAUAAUGCAAGAAAAAAAAACCUUCAUUGUUCUAGAAAGGUGUUGGAGGUUCAGUGCUGCAUAUUCUGAUGAUACAACUGUCAAUUACAAAAUAAGA